GGUCAGGCUGCCUGGAAUGUGUACAUCACAGCUGGACCUCAAGCGGUCAUUUCAGACCGUGGGGUGGCCGCCAGCCUGGGAAGGGCAGAGCAAGAGGAUGGAGGGAGCUUGAUCUCCAAAUGAUGAUGGAGUUUUCUGUCCCUUUCAGCUGAGUGCGAUGCUAAUUAAAGCCACGAGAAGUUGGUCAGGAAGACCGAAGGCUGUCUUUGUUUUAUCUCUGCAUCUGGAGUCAUGGGCAACUUUGGAAAGACGCUGGGUGAGCCGAGUGAUCUCAGUACCUGCAGAAGGAAAUGGUACAAAAGUGUAACACAGAGAAACGUGCCUAAGUGUUUUAAAAGAGUAUUCUUUCAUCAGAAGCACUAAUGGAGCCUGACAGAGGCGUCCCGGGGAAGAGCCAAUGCUGGCCAGGCAUAAGACUUCAGAGGGGAGAGUGUGUCCCCUUUCCUUCAUGGACCCUGGCCACUAGGUCCUGUUUUUUGUUUGUUUGUUUGUUUGUUUGUUUGUUCGUUUGUUCGUUUUGUUUUUAAGGUACUAAGCAGCUAUAUCAAGAGAAGUCAACAGGAAUGGAAUUUCAAGACCUCAUUUUUGAGUUCAAGUACCAUAAAACUAACCACAGAGUGGAUACCACGCGUUAACUGAAUUCUAUUAAAAUUUGUAUUAUCAUAGAGAUGCUCUAACUUAAGUAGAGGAACUAAAAAAAGUCAUAAUGCUAAAAUAGAAUGAAGAAUGAACGAGUCACUUAAGAUUUAAAAGUGUUAUUUGUAAAUUUGUUUAUAAAAAGAUUAGCAUAGAAAUCAGAAGUAAACUAAAAAUGAGGUCAGAUCUUCUGGCCCAUGAGGGAUUUAGAAUCCUAGAUAUAUCCUCAGUAAUUUCAAAAAGAAAUUGUGUGUGUGUUGGGCCAGAUUGUCAAAUUUUUGAUCAUAACUCUUACGGCUUAUUUAAAAGGACUUUUCUCAAUAGCAUUUCCAACUAGAAUUUGUCUUUCAUUCUUUGUUUAUGUCAAUUAACAUAUUUUCUGAGAAGCUAUGAACUCCAGAUAUUGAAAAGAGCUGAAUUCACCACAUUUUAAAGGAUACUUAAAGUUAACAUGAUAGUGCACAAAAAGUAAAUUCCUAAUUCUGUUCUGGUUUGUUUAAUUUUGCCUCCUGGAAUGUCUGCAAUUAUUUCAAGAGAUUGUAGAAGUCAUUCUCAAAGUGAAAACAUUUAAAAAUGCCUUUUAAAAUAAUUUAAAUGAACACUAUUAGACAACACGCACCAUUUGGGAUGGGAAGAAGAGCCAAGGGUUUGAGAGCCCUAACGAUGAACACUAAGGGUUCACCACGACAGAGCAUGAGCAGUGGUUUUCUGGUGGCUGCUGUGCCUCCCUCCCCCCCUCGACCCGUGUUGGAUCGGCACAAGGUUCCUGCCUUACACUUCAACAACACCACUCUUACUCUGCAUACAUGGUCUCUGUCCAUAGCAAAGUCUCACAAAAACAUAGCACAUGUAAUCUGGUAAAAUGACCAUGACACUCUAACAUGCUUAGAAUACAGAAGUUUUAGGAAAAUGAAAAGAAAUUGCUAUGGACUGAGUGUGUUCCCUCCUACAACUUCACCUUUCUCUCCCAAAUUUUAUGUCGAAGCCCGAAUUCCCAAUGUGAUGGUAUUGGACGUGGGGCUUUGGGGAGGAAAUUGGGUUAAAUUAGGCCCUGCGGGUGGGGCUCUCAUGAUGGGAUUAAUGAUUUUCUAAAAUGAAAGAUACAAGGAUCUCUCUCUGCUUCCCUCCCCGUGUGCAUGCAAGCAUCGAAGACAGUCUGUGUGGGGACCUAAUGAGAAGAGGGCCAACUGCGAAUCAAGAAGAGGACCCUCAUCAGGAACCCAGCCAGCUGCAGCCAUGGUGUUGGGCCUCCCAGCCUCUAGAAUUGUUAACAAGAGCAAAGAGAAAGAGACAUUAACAAACGAGAGAGAUAUUGAAAGACCCACCGAUCGUCAUGACAGACUGGAUGCUAAGGAAUGAUCCCAGAGGAAUCCAAAGAUUGAGGUUUGGAACCUAAGCCACGGGAAUGUAUGUACUAACGGAGCGUGCCAAGCAGAGGAAAGAUCCACUGGCGGACUGGGGGUGACGUGGAACUGGAUGGGCUGACUUUCUUCUCUGCUGAAUCUGAGGUGACAGUGGUGUUUGUCCUGUGACGGAAGCCAGGCACCGGCGAUACCGGCUGCCCUUGCCGUGGUGUUCCUUUGCGCACUAGGGGCCUUUACACUCGGGCAGAACAGAUCCAGAUGUGAAGUUCACUCUUGACUGAGUAACUGAACUUUAGCAGCUGGUUUGCUACACAAAGGGAAAAAAGUGGAGGUUUUAAAAUAGAGGGGCUUGCCAUGACAAUGUUUAAGCAGUACUUUGUGAAAGGGUAGCAAUUUCUACUUAGGGAACAACUGCCCUAUAGUCAGUCCUCUACCCAUGCCUUCAGCGAAGAGCUAGGGGAGCCAGGAAUCACUGGAACACCCCCAAACAGAGAAGCCAGUGAUCGGGAAGUGGGUCCCAGAAGCCGUGGAGGGAGCAGCUGAGUUUGGGGUGGAAGCACUAUUCCUUUUCAGACAAUAAGCACCUUCCUAGAAAGAUGUGUGUGUCUGCAUAUCCAAAUCGCUACCAUCAAUAUAUGUAUUUCCAUGAGGCUUUGUUCUGAAAUAAUGUAGAUUUCCUUAAUCAAGAAAAUUAUAUGAAUCUGAACUUUAAAAACUGGAAACCAACAAUGUAAGACAUUACUUCUAUUUUGACUAUAUUAACGGAAUGCAUGUUUCCUAUUAAAAAUAUUUGAAAAGCAUCCCAAACAUAGAGACUGUUAGGAUAAAAUAUCACACACAUCUAUUUAUAUAUAUAAGACCUGGAAGCAACAAAUGCCAAAUUUGCUUCACUUUUUAAAAGGAAAUUAAAUGUUAAAGACGUAUUUGAUGUUCCUUGUCUGCCUUCUCAGCUGCUGUUCCCUUCCCUAGUUUCCCGAAGGUUAUUGCUAUUCUGAAAUUGGUAUGUUUUUCCUGUGCAUGUUUACUACACACAUAUGUCCCAAUAUGUAUCAUGUAAUAUUAUUCUGUAUGUUUGUAAUUAUACAUAAGUGACAUUGCAUCGUAUUGGCCAUACUCUAUCUUAUUUUUACA